UCCGGUAUGGUGUAUCGGCUAGCAUCCGUCGCUUUCAUUAGAUUCGUCUUAUGUCAGCCUCCGACGAGAGCCGGGUUCGACUCCCGGUACCGGAA